CCUGACUGUGCGAAGGUAGCAUAAUAAUUUGCCUUUUAAUUGGAGGAUAGAAUGAAUGGUUUGACGAAGAUAUAGCUGUCUUAUGUGUAUUUAUUAGAAGUUAAUUUUCAGGUCAAAAAGCCUGAAUACGAUUAAGGGACGAGAAGACCCUAUUAAGCUUUAAAGAAGUUGUUAAUUACUGCUAUGAAUAAAAUAGGUUAUUGGUAAUUGAAUUUUAGUUGGGGCGACUUAGGAGCAAUUAAAACCUCCUUAAAUAAGAUAAAAUUUAGUGCAGGGUCCAAUGAAUUUUGAGUUAAGAACAAGUUACUAUAGGGAUAACAGCGUGAUUUUACUUGAGAGUUCUAAUCGAAAGUGAAGUUUGCGACCUCGAUGUUGGAUUAGGAAGUAGUAAAGGUUGCAGAAGCUUUUAUAAUUAGUCUGUUCGACUAGUGAUAUCCUACAUGAUCUGAGUUCAAACCGGA
rnacentral:rRNA from 1 species